UACGAAGGGUGCAAGCGUUAAUCGGAAUUACUGGGCGUAAAGGGCGCGUAGGCGGUUGUUUAAGUCUGUCGUGAAAUCCCCGGGCUCAACCUGGGAAUGGCGAUGGAUACUGGAUAGCUAGAGUGUGUCAGAGGAUGGUGGAAUUCCCGGUGUAGCGGUGAAAUGCGUAGAGAUCGGGAGGAACAUCAGUGGCGAAGGCGGCCAUCUGGGACAACACUGACGCUGAAGCACGAAAGCGUGGGGAGCAAACAGG
rnacentral:rRNA from 1 species